UGAACAGCAUCUAACAGGGCCUGACCUGAAGAUCUGCUACCUCUUCCCAUAUUCUACCUUAAGACUAUGACCAAUUGCUGGCUCCAAGAAGGCAUCAUCUACAGUCAAGGUUUUUCCUCACCACUCCUUGUUCCAUUUACCAUCCAGCUUGAGACAUUUUGAUUGCCCUGAUAUGGAUUUUGGGCUCCCUGACUUCCACCCUGCCAGUCCCAUGGGCACCAGCCGUGGCGCUUUAGCAGUUCCAGGUUCUUCAGUGCAGUAUUAUUUAUUGUGAGCUAUAUAUACAAAUGGGAAGCGGGUGGCGCUGUGGGUUAAACCACAGAGCUUAGGACUUGCCAAUCAGGAGGUCAGCGGUUCGAAUCCUCACGACGGGGUGAGCUCCUGUUGCUCAGUCCCUGCUCCUGCCCACCUAGCAGUUUGAAAGCACGUCAAAGUGCAAGUAGAUAAAUAGGUAUCGCUCUGGCAGGAAGAUAAACGGCAUUUCUGUGCGCUGCUCUGGUUCGCCAGAAGCAGCUUAGUCAUGCUGGCCACAUGACCCGGAAGCUGUACGCCGGCUCCCUCGGCCAAUAAAGCGAGAUGAGUGCCGCAACCCCAGAGUCGGUCAUGACUGGACCUAAUAGUCAGGGGUCCCUUUACCUUUAUAUAUACAAAUAUCUACAGAAGCAGUUCAUACAGUCAGACAGAGUACCUGGCUGCACCUUAAGGCAAAUAGGGAAGACUCUUUCUCUCUGACCACACUCCUCUACACCAUCACCUUACUGCUGGACAGGUUUCCCUUUUAAACCGAUGACAGCCAAUCAACUGUCAGCACAUUACUGCUGAGUCGUUCUGACCCAGCACCUCUAUAGACAGUAUUGCAUCAGCCUGUUGCAUCAACUAGCAAACUCAAGCCUGCAGACUUAUUAUCUUACACAGCAUUCUGUGAAUCCCGACACACUGACACUAUGGAGGGGCAGUUGGGCAAAGCUGCACCUGCCAUGAUGCCAACAUUUCAACCAGCUCCUGCAGCUGCACCUUUAAGAGCAUCCAGUUGUGCAGAUAAAAUAAUAAUGUUUAUCUCCAUGCUGAGAAUAUUUUCUCCUGCUGGUUUCUGUUAAAGGCAAAGAAGCGGCAAGGUAAACUAGUUUUCUUUAGUUCCCAGCCUCAACUGGAAAUCCGAUUUCUGUUCAUUCUGAAGGUGUUAAAAGCACAGAGUUUCUGUCUCUGGGGGGGCGGGGGACGGACCUGACAUCCCUUGAAGAUUUCUGCGUUUUAGUGGGGCAGAAGGCUUCUAGGCAAGCCACUGCACAGUUGAAACAAUUCAAAUAAUCUCUCCUGGUUUGUCUCCUUUCAAAUACUUCUCCCCAUCCUGAGUGGCUGUAACCACUUCACUGCUGAGUGGUCUCUUUAAAUUUGAAGGUUCAUUGUUGUUCCACAAGAUGUGUAUUUCUUUAAAGGCCAGAGCAAAUAACGUGACCUAGUUUUACAGCUGUGAAGCAGUAUAGCAUAGUGUAUAUAAAGAGCAGCACCUAGCUCUCUCAGUACCCUGGGGGAUGGGUCAUGCUUAUUGAUAUAUUAUAAUUAAUGUAAAAGGAGUUUUUGUUUUUGUUAUUAAAACCUAGCAAAAAUUUAUUUGCGUUCCUUGUAAUGUGUGGUCUCCCCAGCACGCUUUCUGCAGCGCAGCUAAUCUGCAAAUAGCCAACAUUGACCCCUCAGAUGCAAUGCAACAUCACCAGAUGUGAUCCAAAAGCUUCUGUUUUUGCAUGGGAAUCUUUGGUACUGAACUCACCCCCUCUCCAGCUGUUCUCUAACUGCUUCUGAUAAAACAUAGAGGAACCCAUAGUGGCGGCUACCCAACCUUCACUGCUGGGAGUCUGGAUCUUCCAUAUUCUAUCAGAGGUGGUUGUUUAAGUGAAGCGAAACGUGUGCAUACAGCAUAGUAAAACAACAAACGUUAAAAACGUUCCAAUACAGGGCUGACUUCAGAUGUCUUCUAAAAGAUAUGUAGUUCUUUAUCACCUUCACAUCUGAAAGGAGGGCAUUCCUCAGGGAGGGUGCCACUACCAAGAAGGCCCUCUGCCUGGUUCCCUGUAACUUCACUCCUCACAGGGAGGAAACCGCCAGAAGGCCCUCAGGGGAGGAACUCAGUGGAGAUGCUCUUUCAGGUAUACUGGGCCGUGGCUGUUUAGGGCAGGCUUCCUCAACCUCGGCCCUCCAGAUGUUUUUGGCCUACAACUCCCAUGAUCCCUAGCUAGCAGGACCAGUGGUCAGGGAUGAUGGGAAUUGUAGUCUCAAAACAUAUGAAGGUCCAAGGUUGAGGAAGCCUGGUUUAAGGGCUUUAAAGGUCAGCACCAACAAAUGUACUGGGAGUCAGUGAAGAUCCUUUAUGUUAAGUUGUGGGUGAACAUAUCAGACGACACAGCAAGUCUUCAAACAGAUCUUUUUUAUUCACAGGCCAGAACAGAACUGAACUGAAGGGUUCAGCCAGCCUGCUUAUAUGGAGCUCCACUACAACGCAACUGCAACACUUUCUGUAACUAUCCAAUCACUGAAUGUCACUUUCAAUCCCUUAUUUGCAUAUGUGGACCUGAGUGAAAACUAUCUACAGUAUCCCCCUGCUGGCCCAGGGUGAGAACUUCAGUACAUAACACUUUAGAACCGGUGUUAUAUGGUUCCGGCGGCCACUCCCAGUCACCAGUCUAGCUGCCGCAUUAGUAGUAGUUUACGAGUCACCUUCAAACCUUCAUACAAACUUCUGUAUGUUAGGAGGGAUUUGCAUAAGAAUACUGAGUAAUUGUCAUGAGGACAAACUGAUGUGGAGAACUGAAUUUAAGACCGGAAAAGAUGACAGGUUUGCACCUCCCUAUUCCCAUGUGUUAUUUAUAUUUAUAAAGGAAUUUAAAGGAAAAUGUAAAGACUCAACCAUCAUUUAAAUCAUCAGGAAAUUUCUUUUAGUGGUUUUGUUUCUGCCGUCCCUAAUUUUGAUUCGAGAUAUAUACUAUCCAGGGGUGUUGUACAGAAUAAAUAAAUAAAUCAUUAAACCUGCAUGCUAAGAAACUCAUGGGAACAGAACUCAAACAUAUUUAUACAGUGAAUGUCUGAGAUGAAUGUCCAGUAUAUUUUACCUCCAUAUAAUCUAUUGCUUCUGUGAAAUUUCAGUCCAUUAAAUGACACCUCCAUCCUACACAUUUUUUUCACAAGAAUAUCAUUACCAUUGUAACCCCAUGACUUAUUUUAGCAUACCUUGUUUGUUUGGAAUGGAAAUCCAAUUAUGUAUCUGUAUAAAAACUCCAGGCAGGUAAUAUACACAACUUGAGAGGUAUAAUUUUUUUUCCUUUUAUUUGCUCAUCUAUGAUUAACAGAGUUUCUUCCUUUCUCAGUAGGCCAUGGUACUAAGAACAUUGUUACAUAUAUUUCCUCCUAAGAGGCAAUUGAUUUGAAUUCUCAGAAUUGCCCAGAUGUGUUGCUUAUAAAAUAUUCACCAAGCCAAUCCUGUUUCUCCAUAAAAAUUUCAUGUUGAGUAUUCAACCUUACAAAAAUUCCUUUAAUUCCCCUCACAUUGAAGAGAAAUGGGAUUUUAAUCCAGUUUGAUUAAACAGUGCAGUCCUAUACAUCUUAGAUGCAAGCCCAAUCAGUUUAAUUGGACUAAUUCCUAGGUAAAUGGGUAUAGAAUGCCAGCACAGUAAGCCAUAUUUAACUGAAUGGACCUUACCUCUGAACAGACCUGCAUAAGAUUGCUGUGUUAUUUUGCAUAUUACUGUGUGCUGUGUGCAGUAUCUUCCUUCACAUGGUGGAUGAUUUUUUUUAAUAAAUAAUUUUUAUUAAUUUUCCAUUUAAGCAUAUAUAAUCACAUCAUUAUUAUCCACUUUACUUCUUCAGCUCCUUAGAGCCUGCCAACUUCCUUCCCUCCCACCUCUUGGCUUUCAAAACUAACCUUUAUAUCACAGCAUUUUAUAUAUUUUCCAGUUCUAAUAUAACUCAUUACAAAAUACCUCACAGUUUAAAAAAAUAUAGAAAGGUAAAAACAAUUCUCAUUACAAGUCUUCAGAUAACCCUACUAAUGUUGGAGUUCUUGCUAUUGUUGUUGCAUACAUGAACAGUCUUUUAUCUUUUUUUGGUAUCUCUCCACCUACUACAUCCAGUAAAAAGUCUUCCGGUUUUUUAACAAAAGUGCUUUUAAACAUUUUCUUUAAUUCAUUGUAUAUCAUUUCCCAAAAAGCCUCUACCUCUUUGCAAGUCCACCACAUAUGGUAAAAGAUACACAUGGUGGAUGAUUUUAAACAGCAAUCCAACCAGAAGCAUAGUCCGGUUUCUUUAACUUCUACUCCCCACUGUCAUUUCUUCUCCUUCCAUUUCUAUCAAACCUUUGUGUCCUCCAGCCUCUGCAAGGCCAAAUCUAGAACUGGGUUACCCAGAAUGGCCAACAAGGUACAACUGGGCUUGCCCUGCACUUUGGCAACUCAUUUCCAGUCACACUCCCAGCAACGUAUUCCUCUCUUCCCCUCAUUCUAUAGGCCGCCUUUCCAUAUACCCUUCCAUAUGUUGAACUGGCAUAUGGAAAAAGGAUCUCUUGGCACUAUCAUCAUAUUUGAAGGCUGCACCAUCCUGACAUCCACCCACUGAGAGUAGAAAUCUGCAGAGGGAGGGGCCCGUUCAGAUUUCCACUUGUCCUGUACCUAGAAAGCACAGGUCCGAGUGGUUUUCCACUUGUUCCAUGCUUUCUAGGCAUGGCUCCAAGGGAUUUGCCCUUUGCCCUGCCACAUUCUGUCAUGGAAUUCUACUCAAUAUUGAUCCAGAGCAGAUUCCAAUGUAUAGUUAACAGCAUACAAACUUAAACACGUUGCAGGAGCCCCCAAAAUAGACCAGAGGCAAUUGUAUUUCAUCCAGCAGAGCUUUACUGCUACUGAAGACAAAUGAGCAUAAUGGUCACAAAUCCCAUACUUUCAGGAUUGGCAGAGUCCAUAACAACUGUUGUAACAGACUUACCUUAAACUUACAAUAACUUAUAAUAAGACUAAACUUUAACACUAAGCAUACUAUGUACAGAACACCACACCUGAAGGAAGAGAGAUAGAAAGAGAACGUGACACCCAGGCUCCUUCUGGCCUUACUUUUAUAGUCAGCAUGACCUUGACAGAAGAGAUAAGAGAACCAGUUGAAGCCAGCUGUGCUCAGCUUCUCUGAAGGAAUAACCCAAACAUCAUGAACCUUCUGCUUGUUUUUUUUCACACAGAGAAGCUUCCAGAACCCUCUUGAAUCAAGUAGAAGAGGAAAGAUCUCUACACAUCAUAUCAAUACUUUCUGCACUAAGAAAUGCAAACUGACUUUCUCCUGGAAUACCCACUCUUUAGCAGUAAAUUGAAACAAAUGGCAACCCACAGAAAACCCAACUGCUGUCUGUUCCAGGUCAGUGCUAAACCACAGGUUUCCCCAUGGAAAAGAGGUGGGGCAAAGAAACGUGUGGAUAAGCCCCUGUAUGUUAACAGCUACUUACAGGCUUUGUAGGCAGAUGUCCCUAUCCAAUGUGUGGUAGUUGGAGGCGAGGCCAGCAUGGUGUGUGCUGUCCCACUCUGCCCUCCAUCUGUUAUACAUGGAGGAAUCACUGAAAAGGGCUCGUGUCAAUAAUAAUAAUAAUAAUAAUUUAUUAUUUAUACCCCACCCAUCUGACUGGGUCUCCCCAGCCACUCUGUGCGGCUUCCAACCAAAUAUCAGAAACAAUACAGCGUCAGACAAUAAAAACAUCCCUAAACAGGGCCGCCUUCAGGUGUCUUUUAAAAGUAAAAUAGUUGUUUAUUGCCUUGACAUCUGCUGGGAGGGCGUUCCACAGGGCAGGCACCACUACCAAGAAGACCCUCUGCCUGGUUCCCUGUAACCCCACUUCUCGCAGCGAGGGAACCACCAGAAGGCCCUCAGUGCUGGAUCUCAGUGUCCGGGGUAGAUGAUGCGGGUGGAAACACUCCUUCAGGUAUACAGGACCAAGGCCGUUUAGGGCUUUAAAGGUCAGCACCAACACUUUGAGUUGUGCUCAGAAACGUACUGGGAGCCAAUGAAGAUCUUUCAGGACUGGUGUUAUAUGGUCUCAGCAGCCACUCCCAGUCACCAGUCUAGCUGCCACAUUCUGGAUUAGUUUCCAAGUCACCUUCAAAGGUAGCCCCACGUAGAGCGCAUUGCAGUCCAAGCGGGAGAUAAGUAGAGCAUGCACCACUCUGGCAAGACAGUCUGCAGGCAGAUAAGGUCUCAGCCUGCGUACCAGGUGGAGCUGGUAGACAGCUGCCCUGGACACGGAAUGCCAAUAGACCAUUCUUCACCCAGGAGACAGUUUCUUCUGACAUGGCACUCUUCACCCACCUAUUCACUUCUUGUCAUCUUGGUAGGCCCUUGAACCAGUCUUGGCAAUUAGAUGUUCUCCAAAGGUGUUUUGGUAAUAGAGUCCUACUAUUACAUCAACAUCUAGUUAUUGGGUUUAUUCAAAGUCCUACUUGGACUACUGGCCCUUUGUCUCCAGGAGUGAAGUUUCUGGGCCUUGACCUCACUGGCAAAUACGUGGACUGUUUGGGGUCAGAGCAGUGGUGAUGUCAGGAUGGUACAGGUGCACCAGUGGAGUCAAUCUGGCACCCCUGCACCAUCUGGACCUCCUCAUCAACCUGCCUCGUCCUGGUAAAUAGCAAAGCCAGGUCCAAGGGAACAGAGCCACUGUACCCCACCAGCUGCUCCUGGUCUCCAAUGCCCCUUUGUAGGUAUGGGGGGCACAGGGAGGGUCAACUUACGUUCUGGUCCAGCUAAUUUAUGCCUUUUGCUAUCCAAGGGCCACACACACAAUGCAUAUAAUAAUAAUAAUGAUAUAAUAAUAAUAAUUUAUUUAUACCCCACCCAUCUGGCUGGGUAUACCCAGCCACUCUGGGCGGCUUCCAAAAGAAUAUUAAAAUACUGUGAUACAUCAAACAUUAAAAGCUUCCCGAAACAGGGCUGCCUUCAGAUGUCUUCUAAAAGUCUGGUAGUUGUUGUUCUCUUUGACAUCUGGUGGGAGGGCGUUCCACAGGGAGGGCGCCACUACCAAGAAGGCCCUCUGCCUGGUUCCCUGUAACUUGGCUUCUCGCAGUGAGGGAACUGCCAGAAGGCCCUCGGUGCUGGACCUCAGUGUCCGGGUAGAACGAUGGGGGUGAAGACGCUCCUUCAGGUAUACUGGACCGAGGCCGUUUAGGGCUUUAAAGGUCAGCACCAACACUUUGAAUUGUGCUCGGAAACGUACUGGGAGCCAAUGUAGGUCUUUCAAGACCAGUGUUAUAUGGUCUCGGCGGCCGCUCCCAGUCACCAGUCUGGCUGCUGCGUUCUGGAUUUCUGGGUCACCUUCAAAGGUAGCCCCACGUAGAGCACAUUGCAGUAGUCCAAGCGGGAGAUAACCAGAGCAUGCACCACUCUGGCGAGGCAGUCCGCAGGCAGAUAGGGUCUCAGCCUGCGUACCAGAUGGAGCUGGUACACAGCUGCCCUGGACACAGAUUUAAUCUGUGCCUCCAUGGACAGCUGUGAGUCCAAAAUGACUCCCAGGCUGCACACCUGGUCCUUCAGGGGCACAGUUACCCCAUUCAGGACCAGGGAAUCCUCCACACCUGCCCGCCUCCUGUCCCCCAGAAACAGUACUUCUGUCUUGUCAGGAUUCAAUCUCAAUCUGUUAGCUGCCAUCCAUCCUCCAACCGCCUCCAGACACUCACACAGGAUCGUCACCGCCUUCACUGGUUCUGAUUUGAAAGAGAGGUAGAGCUGGGUAUCAUCCACAUACUGAUGAACACCCAGCCCAAACCCCCUGAUGAUCUCUCCCAGCGGCUGCAUGUAGAUGUUGAAAAGCAUGGGGGAGAGGACAGAACCCUGAGGCACCCCACAAGUGAGGGCCCAGGGGUCUGAACACUCAUCCCCCACCACCACUUUCUGAACACGGCCCAGGAGGAAGGAGUGGAACCACUGUAUGACAUUGCCCCCAGCUCCCAGCCCCUCAAGAUGGUCCAGAAGGAUGUUAUGGUCGAUGGUAUCAAACGCCGCUGAGAGAUCCAGCAGAACUAGGAAACAGCUCUCACCUUUGUCCCUAGCCCGCCGGAGAUCAUCAACCAGUGCGACCAAGGCAGUUUCAGUCCCGUGAUGAGGCCUGAAUCCCGACUGGAAGGGAUCCAAAUGGUCCGCUUCUUCCAGGAGUGCCUGGAGUUGUUCAGCAACCACUCGCUCAAUCACCUUGCCCAAGAAUGGAAGAUUUGAGACUGGGCGAUAGCUGGCCAUCGUGGCCGCAUCUAAAGAUGGUUUUUUAAGAAGCGGUUUAAUAACCGCCUCUUUCAGCGGGUCUGGGAAGGCUCCCUCACGGAGGGAAGCAUUCACCACCCCGCAGAGCCCAUCGCCCAUCGCCCAGCCCUUCCCGGCUAGCUUUUAUAAGCCAGGAUGGGCAAGGAUCAAGGAGACAGGUGGUUGGUUUCACUCGUCCAAGCAGCCUGUCCACAUCCUCGGAGGUAACAGAUUGGAAUUGAUCCCACGCAAUUUGACUAGACAGGACUCUAGCACUCUCCCGCCCUGGCCCUGCUCCCAUGGUGGCGUCUACCUCUUCCCGAAUCUGAGCGACUUUAUCUGCAAAAAACUUUGCAAAAUCAUUGCAGGAGAUCAUGUGGCCCGUACCGGGCCCCGAUGUAGCAGGUGGUUCCGCUAAAUUGUGGACCACCUGAAAAAGUCUCCUGCUGCUGUUUUCUGCAGAUGCAAUAGAGGCGGUGAAGAAAGUCACUACCGCCACUUGGUAGGCUCGACAUUGAGAUCUAACCUGUGUCCGGUCAGCUUCAGAAUGGGUCAACCGCCACCGGCGCUUCAUCUUUUAUACCAUCGAAAUGGAUUCAGAGAGCAAAAAGAGUUCGCUAUAGCACUAGACUAGAUACUUAUGGGAAAUACAAAAAGAUUCUCUUACCAAAUUAGUAGUAAGUGACAGUGAAUGUAUGGAUUUGGGAUGUGAACUAGUGGGGCAUUCUGUAUAAAUGAAAACAGAGUGUUAUAUCUUUCCCGGGGGUGGAUAGGAAGGUUGUACCAUACAUGAAUUUUAAAUGGUGUGGCAUGAAGUCAUAUGGAGGACAAAAGUGCCUGAAGUUUUGAACGCAAUGUGACCUCACAAGUAAUCCACAUCAACCCAUUUCCUAUUCUGAUUCUUUCUUGGCUGUGUUUUGGCAUAUUUUGUGUUUAGGUUUGUGGAUGUUUCACACCCAGCAGGGAUUUGGGUGGGGGGAGCAAUAGUCCAUAAAUACCUUGGGGAAGCAAACAACCACCCUCUGCUAGAAAGCUUCUUGCCUGUAGAACAUAAAAGAUCACAUUAUUUAUAACUACCACCCUUUGAAUUUUGAGAAUAGUUUUAGUAAGUGAAUGUUGCAUGUGAAUGAAUGUCAAGGACAAUUGUAUUACCAGAGGUUGUGUCCCUAUGCAGUUCUGUGAACCACCCUGAGAUUUUAUGAUGAAGGGCAGAAUAUCAAUCAAUCAAUAAAUAAAUCAAAUGAAUGAAUACAUAAAUAAGUUAGGCAAAAUUACAUGUGAAAAUUUCUGCAUUAGAAGAUGUGCCCACUAAAAUUAAUGACUUUUUGUGACAACUUAUUUAUUUUUUAAAAAAUAAGGUGUGCAAGCUUAAGUAUUUUCUAUGUGCAUGCCCAAAAUGGGAAGAGGAAAUACAGAACUGGGGAAGAGUGACUGAGGAGAGGGACAAACCGACUCAGUACAGAUACAUUCCGUCAAGAUCCACCCACUGAUGUACGUGGUAAAUGAUAGGGUAGCAAUAAACAUCCAUGAGGGAGGAAAAAAAUCAUAGUUGGAUGACCCAUCUGUGGCUAAGGCUGGCUACACGCACAUCUUAGAUUUCUCCCUAGAGUUUUAUGGCUGCCUCACUUCUUCUCCUGGGAUAUUUAAAAACAGCUUCUCUGUGAAGCAGGAAACACAUAUCCACAAUAUUAGAUGGUUCACUCUGUUCUUUAACUUCUGUGAUUCCUUAUUAAACAGAAGAAGUGAUAUAAUAGAUGUGGCUGCUCACCUGCCUAUUUGCUAUAACUGGUCACCAUCCUCUUUGUCCCUUAUCCCCCUUGGCUUCUCUUUCAGCCAACCUUUCCUGUCCACCUUGCUAGCUAAACAGUUUCAACUAGAGAGAGAAUGAUACCACGCUAAAUAAAUAUGAGCAUCAUAUGGUGCUCUCUCUCUCUUUAUUGGUAAGUCUCUGCAUUAUAAUACUGUUGAGAUAAGCAUUUGUUUGUCAUGCAGAAGAAAUACUCCAUAGAGUGUAGAUACACACAUGUGUAUCUUUACUUUUGCUGAAAAUGACAAUAAGUAAUCAUCCUGCCCCAGUUUAAAAAUAAUCAAUUUAAAGUUAGCUGAGAGAUGGAAAUGCAACUAUGAUUACUAUUUUGAAAAUCACUUUUUUGUUUUGUUUUGCAAAACAUUUUAAAUGCUGUUUUCCAUUUUAUUUUUUCUUUGCCCUUCUCGUGGCUCUAUUUAAUUUUAUUUUUUUAUGUGGUUUUCAUGCAAGAAAGGCAUAAAGACAUAUCGUGUUUUCAGACUGUGCCUAGGGCUGAUAUUUGCAUUUGUCUUCAUUCUGUGAUGUCUGCAUUAAUGUUGUGAUAUUCAGACAUAAAAACACCAAAUACAAAUCAGGAAUGCUUGUCAGUUACAUCUCCUCUCUCACUGCAUGAAUUGGGGUGUUUUCGUGAACAUACAUUAUUGUUUGCAGUUAUAAAAUGGCAUACAUACUUACACAGGCCAACUAGAAGGGGUUAUCUAAGGUAGCUCUGGAACAGAGGAGCCAGCUUCUCUAGGCAAUCGAGGGGGGCCAAUGAUGUCACACAAAGGGCUCUCUGGAUAUCGGGGGGGGGCUCACCCCCUAAAAUAGAUGGGGGACGUAGUGCCUCGGCCCCCAGGAACCAUUGCCCUUGCUCUGGAGCUACCUUGUGAUAUUCUUGGGAAUCCUGAUGUGAUUCUAAGCUACACAAUACUAUUGUAUGAAUAGGAUUGACUAUAUGGAGAAUGGGAAAUAUUUAAGGAAUAUAUAUGAUUAUAUCGUAAAAAUAAUAGCAUCUUAGCAGAACUGGAAUGAUACCUGUAAACAAAAAUGAAUGAAAUGAAUAUUUUAGUGGAAUACAUGAAAAAGGAUAUAAUGUAAAACUGUGCGAUAAAAAUCAUGAUUAUAUAAACAGUAUAAUGAGAACGAUUGGAAGUUUCAUGCAUAAAUUUUUCUUUGAUGGAUAUGAAUCUGUAUAAAUUUUUGGCUCUUUUUUUCUUUUCUUUUUCCUUCUUUUUUAUCUUCUUUUUUCUUAUUAUUAUGUCUUGAUGUUUCCCCCCCUGUAUUUAAUUCUUUUAUAACUACCUUCGUUGUAAAUGAUCAUUCACGUCUGUGGGAGAUUGACCCUGGCCCACGAGAUGGCCUCACAAUCACACCAUGGCCUAUUGGCCAGUCAGAGAUCGGUGUUGUGAUCGUGGGGGAAUAUAAAAGCCGGCGGUUCAUUUCUGGGGCUUCACCUGGCUUCACGACGCCAAACACCCACGCACCUGCCCUGUAUUUUAGGUGUCUGCUUUGGCCUUGCUCUGGACUUCAGUUGGUCGCCUGUUUUGGAACAAGGGCUGGGUAGGAAUUUUUUCCAUUUGGCAAAUUGGCACUGGUCAUUUGGUUUUCACCUACCUCUUAGCAAUCAUCACAACUUUUGUCAGGGUUGGCGGUUAGGCAUUGGCUUAUUGUGAUGUGGGGGAGGGGAGGUACGGCCAUCAUCUGCCUUUCCAGGUACAAGGGUAUUCCAGUAAAGGAAUCUGCAGGUCUGGAUCUCGUCCGAAGUCUGCUUGGGAGGCUAGGACCAUGCCAGGACCCAGCAGGAACCCUGGGGUGUGCUUCAGUUGGUUGCCAUUGACGGAGCUCCCUUGUUUGGUUAUUUGCAUUCCAGACUUCCUGCAAGGCAGGCAGGAGUCAGAUAUAGUUAUUGCCAAUGCCUAAACCAAUACCACUUACAUUGCUGUAAUCAAUAAAGUUGUGGUCUAAAUUUUUACCCAUUAACCUUAAACUAAAGUUCUGUGUCAGGGUGUAUUUAUUUAUCCUUGGGGGGGGGGGUGUCGGAGUCUUGACGCGCAAAUCGUCCCAAACUAUAUAUUGAACCCCUUGAAGUCUUAGUGCAUUAUAGCUGGCCAUGGUAGCCGUAUUACAGAACUGGCAAGGAACUAAAUUUUUGUUUUGAGAUCUAGAUUCCAGUUUGAGGCAGAAUUCAUCUCAGUAAAAGCCAUCCUUUUGCCCAUUCCCAUGACUUCCCCAUUUCUGAAAGGAUUUUAGUCACCAAAUUUCAAAUAUUUUUUAGUCAUGUUUUCUCCAGACUUCGUCUGCAAGAAAAUUUCAGGACCUUUUGGAUGAUAGGGACUGCAAACAGACAUAGCUGCCUGGUGAUGACAUAGAUGCCAUUAAUGGAUGUGAUGGCAAAUGACCCCUUGUUAAAGUGGCUGAUGUGAUUGAACGUUAAAACCAAGUCAUGGCAAUGUUGAAGUACACCAGGAGUCAGAAUCUGCAGUGUAGCUUGUGACAUGGUUUGACUGAUGUGUCUGUUGCAUGGUCCGCUCCAACACCAGCACAUAUAGCUUCAUUUCAUGGCCCCUGUGUUGAAAUGGAGCCAACACUUGGGGCAGGAAUCUUUCACAUCUGACAGUGUUCUUCCACGACAUGCAUUCUACACAUUUGUUUGCGCAGUACCAAAUGGCUUGCACAGUCACCAUGACAUUCUAUUUUAAUGUUGUGGUCCACAUGGAUCAAAAUAGGAAAUUGGUUUACAUCCCUCUUGUGUGGAAUUUUAAGCAGCAGCAGCAUGAGUUGAAAACAUAUUAAUAUGAAAACCUCAAUAGUUAAUUAGACAUUUGCUGUUAAAAAUUCUGACCUUAUUAAUGUUAAAUGAUAGCUAAUUAAACUGGUGCUAUGUUAAAUGGUAUUUGAAUACUGAAACGUUCCUCACAUUAGAACAUAUUAACAAGAAAGCAAUUGCAUAUUCAAUGCCCUGGUGGUUUUUUCAGUCCAUUUACAUUAAAAUAAGAUUUUCCUUAUAUUCCCACUGAAUAUUCUUUUAAAAUGAUCAUAACACUGUAGCUCUACAAGCAGGGCAUAAAUGCCCAUUGUUUUAUAGGACCAUGGAUCAUGUACAUAUGCAUGUACACAAUGAACCUAAAAAAAACACUGUGCCGUCACAUUGUGUUUCUUCAGGUAUGUCAGGGAUAAACCAGUAGGUAAUGCUGAAAUGGGAAUAACUGUAACACAGAAAAGGUUAAAGUGCUCUUGGAAGGCAGGUCUGCUGCUUGUAAAUGCACAACCUAUGAAAACCAAAACAGAUAUUUUAGUUACAUUUCAAUUUCUCUGUAUAGUGCAUCAGUCCAUUUGAAAUUGAGCACACAAGCUUGAGUGGGGUUUGCGUGUCGAGGUCCCCAGGGCCACCCCAAUAACUCACACAUCACACAGAAUUUUUUGUUUAAGAUUUUUGGCAUAAUUUUGGCCACAACUUUAUUGAAAUACAAAUUUGUGAGUGGUUGCUUAGGCAUUGGUUGCGACUAUCUGCCCCCACCACGGGGGACAGACUGACAUUCCGCAUGAUGCGAAAGUCAGAAUAGGGGAAUACACUUGGGGGUUACACGGAGCAGGGAACCCGCCCUCACCCCAAAUGCAACCAGGAGCUCAUUGCUAUGGCCCGAGCCUCCUUGACAGAGUGGACAAGCAAUAGUUAGGCCCCAAUUCCUUUAACGGAAUCCCUUGCAGCAGCAGCAUUAGAGGGGCAGGCACAGCCAAUCCAUGCCCCUCAACCAACCAAACCAUAAACCAAUGCCUAACCGCAACCUUACAAGUUGUGAUGAUUUACUAUGCAGUAGGCAAAAACCAAAUGGCCCCAGCCAAUCAGCCAGGUGGACAAAAUUCCUACCGGGCCCCUGCCCCAAGAGCAGAUGACCCCAUGACAAGCAUAGCAAGGUCAAAGCGAACAACCCUAAUUCUAGGGAGGGGGGGGGACGGGCAAUCCGAUGCACGGACGAAAAGAGGAAGCCCUAGCCUCGUACAAGGAGUUUUAGCAUUUCUGGCUGUCAAUCAACAAAUGCCCACAUUAACUUCUUCCCAACAACAAGGGAAUCCCCAAUCGCAUCAGUGGCCAACGAUCGAUUAGCCCGCCCCCAACUUUGGAGUAUCCUUGCGGCCCCCACCGCAACACGUGCUCUCCAUGAAGUAGAACACGCUUUAUCUCCCAGCACUGGAUAUUCCCAUUCCUGCAAUAGUAUGAUGAACCAUGAUAGCAUAUUUAUUCUCUCAUUCUUCCUGGGCCAAAUGAGGUGUGCUAUUAGUAUCCAAGUAUCUCUGCUAUUAGUAUCCAAGUUGUAGAACUUCUCUACUUGCAUUUGUUUGAAAAGAGGUAGCUAUUGUCUCUUGAUAGCAAGAACCAAACAGAACCCAAACCUGGUCAAAUGACAGGUCCUUUUUUCAGUAGCAAAGAUGACAAAGGAAAUGUGAUUGCUGAGUACUAACUCAUCAAGUGUCUUGCCUUAGUUCCUUGCCCAUAGUGGGCAAAAUACCUAGGAAAAGCAGUUAGGGGGAUUUAAAAUCUCUUGGGUAUUUUUUUCUCUUGGCUAGGAUUUGAUCACAUUAUGGUUAAGUCCAGUGCCGGAUUUACGUAUAAGCUAAACAAGCUAUAGCUUAGGGCCCCGCUUUCUUGGGGCCCCCCAAAAUAUACUUCUUCUUAAUUGUAUUUCACUAGUAUUACACUUCUUCUUAAUCGUAUUUCAGUUCAACAAUUACUUUGAUAAAAUAUAUAUUUUGUUAUGUGCAAAUGGCUUUAGAUACCUAUUAGGUCCAUAAAUUACCAUAUAGCAUAUAUUCAACACACAAAAAAGCAACAGUUUGUUGUUGUCAAAGGACAGCUGGACAUAUAAAGGGCUCCAUUACCUUCAGUAGCUUAGGGCCUCAUCAAACCUAAAUCCGGCCCUGGUUAAGUCCCAACAUAAAGUUAAAUUAAAAUGUUGGCUCAUACUUCAAGACAUUUAACAUAUCCAUUCCUUUAUUGUGUUGCUUAUGGAAAGAUGAAUUAUAAAAGUACUGAUGUGCUUAAAGCUACACAUAUAUACACCAGUGAUCUUGCAAAAACUUAACGGGGAACAUGGAUCGUUUAAUUCAGUGGGACUAUCUUCUGAGGAAAGAUCAGGCUUUGAGUCUUUUCUUAUUUGAGGGAUGGGAUACAUUUGACCUGAAGCGAUGCUCCAUAUCUGCCCAGUUCAGUUCAGGCCUCAGCUAAGUACAGUUAUAUAGAUAUGACUGACCACCGGAUGACAGCUUUGUUGGGAUGAUACCCUUUGAAGUUAAAAUAACGCCCCAAAGCAGAAGCAACAAAAAAUUGGGAUUUUUCAACAAAAAAUUGGGAUUUUGCAACAAAAAAUUGGGAUUUUGAAACUCUUUGGAAUAAUGUUUUGGACCCCAUUAAAAAAACAAAAAACACUUCUCAUGCUGAAAAUUUUCCCUCUAAAAUUUGGUGCAAUAUUAAUUUUGUUAAUCAUUACUUGUUAGGAAAUCUGGAAGUUUAAAUUUACAUUGAAACUCUGCUGAAAGAUUGCUUUUUAAAAAUAAUAAUAGAUAAUGCAUGACAAAUGAACAGCUUUAUGGCAGCUAAUGCAUUGCCAAAUCAAUAAACAGUUAAUCAGUCUAUAGAUGCAUUAUUUGUUACCAGCAUUACCCAACAUUUAAUUACAUUGUUCAGACAGCAUUGCUGAUUCUUGCAAUGCACUUAAUUAUCAAGCAAAAUGAGGGGAACAUUUAGUCAGAGGACACUGUUCAAUGACAUCCUCAUAGGGGCAUCCACUUCCUCCAUAUAAACUGUGCCUGCAAAAUAGAAUUUGCCUGAUAUUGUGAGUGUGUGCAGGUGUGUUCACACACACACACACACACAAAAUAAUCAGGCAAAUUCUGCUUUGCAGGCAUUUGCAUGUCUUGCAUGACAUCAGUUAUAAGAUCACUCUCAAAGAAUAGUAUCAUGCAAUGAUAACUUUAGGGGAGACCCAAAAGCUCUCCAAUUCCCAGCAGAAGCAUCUGUUCCUCUGCAGACUUUGCUGAUCCAUCUGUGUAAUCCAGACUAUGGUUGCAAUGAACAGGUGACAGGUGUGCUUGUCUUCAGAACAAAUACCGUAUUUUUUGCUCUAUAAGACUCACUUUUUCCCUCCUAAAAAGUAAGGGGAAAUGUGUGUGCGUCUUAUGGAGCGAAUGCAGGCUGUGCAGCUAUCCCAGAAGCCAGAACAGCAGUAAGGAUUGCUGCUUUCACUGCGCAGCGAUCCCUCUUGCUGUUCUGGCUUUUGAGAUUCAGAAUUUUUUUUUCUUGUUUUCCUCCUCCAAAAACUAGGUGCAUCUUGUGGUCUGGUGCAUCUUAUAGAGCGAAAAAUACGGUAACUUAGGCAUGUGAGCCAAGAAACAUUUUGAAGGAGAAGAUAGUAUCCCCCUACAAGUCAUAAAAGGUAAAGGGUAAAGGGACCCCUGACCAUUAGGUUCAGUCGCGGACGACUCUGGGGUUGCAGUGCUCAUCUCGCUUUACUGGCCAAGGGAGCCGGCGUACAGCUUCUAGGUCAUGUGGCCAGCAUGACUAAGCCACUUCUGUCAAACCAGAGCAGUGCACGGAAACGCCGUUUACCUUACCGCUGGAGCAGUACCUAUUUAUCUACUUGCACUUUGAUGUGCUUUCAAACUGCUAGGUUGGCAGGAGCAGGGACCGAGCAAUGGGAGCUCACUCUGUCAUGGGGAUUCGAACUGCCGACCUGAUUGGCAAGCCCUAUGUUCUGUGGUUUAGACCACAGCGCCACCCGUGUCGUAAGUUGGUACAAUUUGUAUUCUUGGUCUAAUAUCUUCAAAGAGCAUCUCUCUACAUACAAAUCUUCCAACAUGAACUGAGAUUACAUGACAGUAGCCGGAUCUUUCUUCUAGCCUUUAAAUUCUAGAAUUUUAAAUUCAUAGGGUGGAAUUCAGCUAUGCUUCACGCAGAGUAGCCCUAUUAAAUUAGUGACCAUGACUAAGUUAGACCCAUUAAUUUCCGUCAGUGAGCAAAACUUAUUUGAAUGUGACCAAUAGCUUUGAAAUUAUAUAAAUAUUUUCCAAAAAAUGUAUGCCAGAGCCAUUCUUUUCUGGCUCUUAGGGAAAAGUAAAGCCUUCAAGUUAAUGGCUGAGCAGUGUGAAUGAAUAUACUAUCUCAUCAUGACUGUAGUUACACUUAUUAGUACUUUGUGGAGCUAAUAACCUGUAUUAUUUAUAAUUUUUUAAAACAAAAUAUUACAAAAUAUUAUUUUCAUUUUGCAUAAAAUAAUGCCUUAAGCACAGGGAGAUUCAAGAUUAACAUGUAUAAAAUACAAUGGUUGGAAAUUUCCUUUGCUAUCUCAAAUUUGGUGUUCAGGCUUCCAAUGGCAACAAAUUGUGCAGAGUAACUAUGCGUAUUGUAUUUUACUGUUAUAAUCCGGACAUAUAAUCAUCAUUUUCCAGUAUUCCAAUCUACUGAGAUGACUAAGGCUUGAGAAAAAGUACAAAUAUUCUCUCACAGCUUGAAACUCCUAGUAUAGUGGUACCUCGGGUUAAGAACUUAAUUUGUUCUGGAGGUCCGUUCUUAACCUGAAACCGUUCUUAACCUGAGGUACCACUUUAGCUAAUGGGGCCUCCCACUGCCUCCGCGCGGCCAGCACACGAUUUCUGUUCUCAUCCUGGGGCAAAGUUCUUAACCCGAGGUACUACUUCCGGGUUAGCGGAGUCUGUAACCUGAAGCAUCUGUAACCUGAGGUACAACUGUAGAUUUUAUUUGUUUAUUUACUUUAAUCUCCACCCCCCUCCCCUGCCACCUUCUGAUGGAAUGGCUCCCAGAGUGGCUUGCAAAGAUCAAUAAGAAGGAAGUCUCUACUUUCAGACUUGCCUUCCAAAAGACACUGCAGUGGUACCUUGGUUCUCAAAUUUAAUCCGUUCCGGAAGUCCGUUCUAAAACCAAAGCACUCCAAAACCAAGGCAUACUUUCCCAUAGAAAGUAUUGCAAAACGGAUUUAUCCAUUCCAGACUUUUAAAAACAACCCCUAAAACAGCAAUUUAACAUGGAUUUUACUAUCUAGCAAAACCACUGAUCCAUAAAAUGAAAGCAACAAUCAAUGUUCUGUACUAUAAAAUAAAUAAGACAGUAUUGUAGAUGAUAAAAAUUGAAAUUAAAUUGUUUUCUUUCCUGCACUGAUGAUAGUCAUUGUUUGGAUGGGAGGCUUUUAUCCUUCUCCACAGUCACACAAUCAAUCAGUCAUAAAACGUAAAACAAGCCGCAGUCACAAAAAUGAGAAAGCCACACAAACAAAAAUGCAAAAAAUAGCAAAAACAAAAGCACCAAAUAUCACCUCAGAAAGCGGGAGGACAAAAAGCUUAAUUACUAUGUGAGGGACUGAAAUUAGCUGCACAACAGCAAAAAUGGAAGCUCAGGAGCAUGUUCAGCUUCUGGGGCAAAGUUUGAAAACCGGAACAACUACUUCUGGGUCUGCAGCAUUCGGGUUCCGAGUUGUUCGGGAAAUCCACUCCACUUAAAUGUGGGGAGGAGUCGCGGUGGCCCACCUGGCUACCCAUUCCCCUCCAAGGGUGGGGGGCUGUUUCUGUGGUGCCCAGAGGAUUACGGCCACAUCAUAAACCAGCCAGCCAAUCCGCUGGCUGGGGAGGCGUGGCCAGGACCCAUUUAAAUGGAGGCGUGAGUUGGUGGUGUGGAUCUUGUCCGAAGCCCAGGGCGGGGCUAGGGCCAUGCCACGACCCCGUUGGGAGCCCUGGGGGAAUUCGAGUUGGCCCCUUGCAGUGGUUUACCCUUACCGGACUCCCUGCGUGAUGGGCAGGAGUCAGAUAUAGUGGGGUCAAUCCCAAUGCCUAAGCCAAUACCACUCACGUUCUGUAACCAAUAAAGUUGUGGCCAAAAUUUGCCCAAUAACAUUAACCUAAUAUCUGUGUUGGGAGAAAAUCACUGACAAACCUAGACAGCAUCUUAAAAAGUAGGAGACAUCACCUUACCAACAAACGUCCGUAUAGUAAAAGCUAUGGUUUUCCCAGUAGUGAUGUAUGGAAGUGAGAGCUGGACCAUAAAGAAGGCUGAUCGCCAAAGAAUUGAUGCUUUUGAAUUAUGGUGCUGGAGGAGACUCUUGAGAGUCCCAUGGACUGCAAGAAGAUCAAACCUAUCCAUUCUUAAGGAAAUCAGCCCUGAGUGCUCACUGGAAGGACAGAUCGUGAAGCUGAGGCUCCAAUACUUUGGCCACCUCAUGAGAAGAGAAGACUCCUUGGAAAAGACCCUGAUGUUGGGAAAGAUGGAGGGCAGAAGGAGAAGGGGACGACAGAGGAUGAGAUGGUUGGAUAGUAUUCUCGAAGCUACGAACAUGAGUUUGACCAAACUGCGGGAGGCAGUGGAGGACAGAAGUGCCUGGCGUGCUCUGGUCCAUGGGGUCAUGAAGAGUCGGACAUAGCUAAACGACUAAACAACAACAACAAUAUCUGUGUCCUGGUGUUUUAUUCGUCAAUGAGGGGGUCGUGAUGGGGUCUUGACACACAACUAAGCUGUUUGAAAACCGAGGUACCAGUGUACACAGAAAAAAUGGUUUGGGAGGGAAGAGAGAGGAGAAAAGGAAAUUCUAAGAGUUUUUAGUUACAAAGUUAUUAUAAUGACCAGUUGGAAUGGAAAAAGUUCAAGGAGGAGGGGAGAAACCAAACAGCUGCUUGUCUUUCAGCUGAGCUGGUGAAGUGACUUGCUUCCUUCUCCCAUUUCCCUCUGCUGGAAUGGAGUUUUAAGCACGACCAGCAUUUCUGGGAAAAAUUACCACACAUCCUUUUUGAUUCAUGAAAUCUAAGAAGCUGUGGCAGGACAUUAAUGUUAUACAAUCCAUUUUACAGCCAGUUGCUUCAUUUGUAAAUCCCCCAAAAAGUCCUUGUUAAAUCUAUGUUAUACAAGUCCCAAGUAUGAAGUUCUUUGGGGGCAAAGAAGUUAUUAGCUUUGCAUAUAUUUUUGAACUAAUUAGGUUGUCUCCAAACUUAGCCUCCGAUACGUAUGUCAGCCAGGAAAUGUUAGCUUUAAAUUAGCUGUCAAUCCUGUCUAACAUUUAAUUUAGCUGAACACAAACCUCACGGAAUUGAGCACAAAGGCAAUGUUAAUUUUUGUUUCAGUCAGCAAUCAGUGUAAAUGCCAGAAAUAUAACACGGUUGCUAAAUUAAAUGUGUGCUUAAGGAAAAAUGCUAUUUUAUUUCAAUAACAUUCAGGUGCGUUAAAUGAUGGGCACAAUCCCAAAUUUAUAAAGAAAGGAAAGAAAAUCCAAGAGUUGAUGGAACUUCAUGGAUACCUGUGUUUGUGGAAAGUUUUAUACACUGAAUGUUUGAAAACAACAGGCAGAAGAAUUUCUAGAUCUGCAGUUGCUAACCUUCUUUAGGCCAACGGACAGACUGAGAUUUUGAAAAGUGUCAUUGGCACUAUUCAUAAACUGGGUGCUGUGAGGGUGUGCUUAAACAUAAAAUGACUGCCAUGGGGUGUGAAAUAACACAAAGGGUUGCAAUAUCUAAAAAUACAGGAAUGUCCACUCCCCACAUCAAAUGGGGGCGCCUUUUGCGUGCAGUCCCCCCCAAUCCCAAGCGGCUCCCGGCAGUACAGCCUGGAUUCACACAUACACCCUGGCAGUAGCUGCCUACCUCUGCCAGUCACCCAAUCCCAGCUGGGGAGGCGUUGCCAGGAGAGAGUUGGCCGGGUAAGGGGAGGGGUUGACCAGCCCAUGGUCAAUUGAGACUACAGUUCCCAUCAUCCCUGACCACUGGUCCUGCUAGCUAGGGAACAUGGGAGUUGUAGGCCAAAAACAUCUGGAGGGCUGAGGUUGAGGAAGCCUAGUUUAAAUCUUAAUCUCCACAAUAUUAUCUAUAAUUUGCUUCUAAGGUCUUAGUCUUGUUCCCUUAGUUUUAUGGCAACUGCGCAAAAUUUGGUCACCUUUAACGUGAUCUCUGGAUCCUUGUCCUCUAUCAGAGAUUUUAAACAUUGAGGUUUGGGCCCACUUGGAAUUUUCUUUAUGACAGGGUUGAUAAAAACAGAAUGUGUAUCCCCGUAAAAACGGCAUAGUAGCAGGACAUGAGAGACGGUUUCUACCUCUAAUGCGCUGCAGGGGCAAACUCGUUCCACGUACGGUUUACCCACAUAUCUGCCCUGCAACAAGGCGUACGGCAGUGCAUUGAAUCUAGCGAAAUCAUAGACUCCUGUAUAGAAUUCUGAGGGUCAUUUAGUCCAACCUCCUGCCCGCAGUCAUCCCUAGGUGGGCUCGAACCACCAACCUUCUGGUUAGCAGCCAGAUGUACUGACUCACUGUGUCAUAGGAAUGCAGACAUUGCGUAAUUCAAAUGCCAAGCUAGUACCAUGCGUGGGAAAUUCAGGCAAGCCACAACAAACGCUUCACCCAAGCUUUCAGUGGAGCUUUUGCCUCCCAGUCUCGAUGAUUGAAACAUUACACAUGAAAAAGGCCGGAGACAUUGGUUUACGAUAUCUUGCAGUAAAGAAGGUGAAAGAGAAGGUGAAAUUACGGGUUUUCUGCUUUCCAGUAACUGCCUCUCACUUUGAGAUACAUUAGCUACUUCCCUGCACAACUGGAUGAGGAAAACAUCCUUUGCCUAAGGGUAUGAGACCCAGAAUAUGAAUAGCUCUGAAGAUUAUCAGAGAAGACUCUGAGCUUUAGUUGAAAUCAACAGUAGAGGGAAAUAAGCACUGCCAUUGGUCAAAUAGCUUGGGGAACUCAGAUUUUUCAUUUUAUGCUCUGCAAUAUGAGCUUCCUUUUAAAAGGGUAGGGGUUAAAGCAUGUGGCUUCUGUGGUUACAGAGAUAAUAUACCAACCAAGAACCAACUGUAAGCCCAUGCAGCAAUGUAUAAUUGAUUCUGCCGAGAACCUGAAACAGCAGCAAUUGAAGGAUGCGUUCUAACGGUCCCUUCCAUUGAUUUACAGGACCUACUUCCUGAUUGUUUUAAAAUGAAACGUUGUUAACUAUUCCACUGCUGACCAAAGCAUGCAGAAACAGAUGACGUUUCACGAUCUCACAUUUAAGGUGAAAAUCGGCUCAUGGGAUCCUACACAGGCUCAUGGGAUCCUACAUGGGAUCCUACACAGGCUCAUAGGAUCCUGCAUCCAUGUAUUUGCAUUCGCUGCAAAUAGUAUCUCCAGGACACACCUGGAUUUUGAAUGCUAUGACAUCUCUAGCCUUCUCCCUAACAGCAAAACUGGUCUGACAGUUUUAUUUUCCCUGGCUGUAUGUUCUCCACUUCCAGGAACUGGUGAAAGGUGCAGAUUUUCACUGGGUUUCUAAAACUUUAGAUUGUGCAAAGGCUUUGCACACUCAAAAGGACCAGCUUCCUGUUCCUUAAAAGGAGGUUGUGAGAGGCAGAAGCGGGAAUAAGAGGCAGAGACUGACUAGCAGAACAGUUUGUAAAACCUCUGGACCUCUGAGGCCAUUCUGUGAUACGCAGGACCUUUGCUCCCUUAAAAGGUUUUUCCAGGGGGUUGCAGGUGUCUGCUUCGCAAUGCACCUGUCACACGUACGUCAAGUGGAGUGAAGUUCAAAGUAAGGGGUCAGGGAAAUAUCCAGCACCAAAGUGCUUUGUCAGAGCAACUAAAAUAACAACAGGUCUGAAGUCACUUGGGUCAGUGGAAAGAAAAGGAAAGAGGUGGGCAAGAUGUCAUUGCAGGAGCACUCGAGCGAGAAGAAAUGAGAUGACAAAAAAAACAGUGAAUAAGGCAAGUUGCAGAGCAGCCACGAAGGCAGAAAAGUAUCUGAAAAAUCUGACGGAAGGGUCUAUCCCAGGCUUAGGCAAACUCGGCCCUCCAGAUGUUUUGGGACUACAACUCCCAUCAUCCCUGACCACUGGUCCUGUUAGCUAGGGAUGAUGGGAGUUGUGGUCCCAAAACAUCUGGAGGGCCGAGUUUGCCUUUGCCUGGUCUAUCCCAUAUUUUAACCCAAGAAGAGUCUCAGUGAGGGAAACCGUCCCAAAUUAGGGAGACCUUGUGAAUUUUUCCAGAUGUUGUGCUGACAUGGCAACACUCUGAUUGCACACAACUCCCUCUUGAACACACCUGACUGGGAGGCUGAGCUGUGAAUCUCAUGGCACCUGAGAAACAGGUCUUUCAAGCUUUGACCCUCACUCUGCAACAACCGUCACAUAAGCAAACCCUGUUAACUCAUACACAGCUUAUUGCUUGACUGGUGCCUGUUGUAAUUUCUCACCACUUUCAAAUCAACUAUGGGAACUUACAGUCAUAUGUGGUGGGAUUGUCCGUUAGUUAAUGAAUAUUGGAAACAGAUUGGUAUAGAAAUAUCGGGAAUUGUGGGUAGGAAGGUGGGAAUAUCUAAAUUAAUGGUUCUUAUUUGUCUGAGUAGCACCGAGUUAAAAACAAAAGAGGAAUGUAAAUGGGUAAAAUUGAUGGUAACUGCAGCCAGACAGGUUAUAGCGAGUAACUGGAAAAAUGCAGAAGAGUUAGGGGUGAACCAAUGGAGGAAAAAACUGAAUAAUAUUAUAAUUUUAGAAUAUCUAACUGUGAAGAUACACAGAAUGAAAGGGUUUAAGGUCAGUGAGAAAGAGGAGGAUUGGUUUGAGAAGAUAUUGAAUUAUCUGGGUAGGUUUGAACAAUUUGGGGCAAUUAAAAUGUUAAAAGUUAAAUAAACCUUGUGGAUGGAGGAGUGUUAACGUAUAUAAAAUUGUACAUAUGGGUGAUUUGAAUAUGUUAUUAUUGAUUAUGUAUACCCAAUGUAUCAGCCACCUGGGGGGUUUCACUGUUUGUGUUUUAGUUGUUGGUAAAAAAUAAAAAUAUUUUAAAAAAACUAUUGAUGCCUUCAUUUUCCAAAGGAGGGGUCAGGACUGUUCACCUGCCAGUGCUGUACACCUGGUUUUGCAUUUUCAGAUCAGAUACGUUUUAGGGGCUUGACUCAGUUCCCGCAUCGAGCUUGUUCAUUUCUUACCUCUUCAUUUAUCUAUUUAUAUUUAAUAACCUCAUCCUCUUAGGGUCUGUUUGCUAAAUAUUAUUUCUACAAGAAGCAAUAUAUGCUGUAGGGAUGCAUUUAGAUCAUAGGAAAAGUGUGACAUCAUUAGAUCUAAGCCUAUUAUAGUUAUCAUUAGUAAUAGUUCCCAUAAUUUCCUUUUCAUGCAUGAAAUAGAAGUUGAUGAGGUUGCUGGGCAGUUGGUUCAUGCAUCUGUUUGAUGGAGACCAUUGCUUUGAAGUAUUUGAAAUAAACAAAUACACUCACCCUUUUUAUUUAAGACAACUUACAUGUCUUAACAACUUCAUAACAUAUUACCCCUUUUGUGUUAUAAAAUACUGCAUAUUGCUAUUUCGAAUCAUGACAGUACCUAAAACUAUUCUAGGCAAAAAGACAGGAUCAAAAUAUUAGUUUUUAGCCAUGGGGAAUUCAUAUACAAAUAACCCAGAACAGAUCCUUGAGAUUUUCCCUCUUAUUCUACAUUCAAGGAAAUUCACAUUUUGCAUAGUUGUUAACUUGAGUUCUUAUUAUCACAAGAGCAUCUGUACUUUGAGGAAAACCCCCUUAAUUAUGCAAUCAUUACAUUUAUUCAGAAACCAAAAUAGCUGAGCUGAAAAGAUUAAGUUGAAUUAAUGAGAUGAUGCUACCAAAUGCCCAUAGGUGGUUUGGUAUCUUGGAGAAAAUAAUAGGCAAAAAGUUACUGAAGAAUUUUGUGCUUACACUACCUCCCUCCCUCUCUCACACACACUUUUUCUUUGUCUUACCAAUCCAGCAACUUGGAGAGGAGAAAAACAGAAGAUAUGGGGAG